GUAAAUGUAGAGUCCAGAUGUAGCUCAAAUAAUAAUAAGAGUAUUAUUGGGCAACGAUGAACACCUAAUGAAAGAGAUGCAUCAGAGAAAGUGGGAAACCCCAAAUUCAUCUGAAACAAUCUCUCUCAGGUUAAUUUACCAGCCAUGUAACGGUCUCUACCAACAUAAACACGGUAGAUACCUGACUAUAUGUCUGGUUUUCAAAUGCAACAACA
rnacentral:lncRNA from 1 species